rnacentral:misc_RNA from 1 species
ACAGAUGGCGUUCAAUUCUUCGGCUCAAAGUUGCAGACAAAGAUGGCGGACGAUAUAAUGGCAAAUGCCUUGAGAACAAGGCACGAUCAAAUAAAACGUUGGGAGGAUUCUGACACUAACAGAGAACCAGAUGCGCCGAAGUUGCGUGUUAAAAGAGUUAAAUUUCAAGAUGGGUGUGUGUUUCUUGCAGCGUGUUCUAGCGGGGACAGAGAAGAAGUGAAAAAUUUAUUGGAAAGGGGCGCAGACAUCAACACAGCUAAUGUCGAUGGUUUGACUGCACUUCAUCAGGCUUGUAUUGAUGAUAAUUUAGACAUGGUGGAGUUCCUUGUGGAACAUGGUGCUGAUGUUGAUGUAUGCGACAACGAGGGUUGGACGCCCCUUCAUGCAACGGCCUCAUGUGGCUUCACGGAGAUAGCAAGGUACCUUUUGAAAAAGGGUGCAAACGUGGCAGCUGUCAACAAUGAUGGGGAUCUUGCAAUCGACAUUGCAGAAGAUGAAGAAAUGGAAAAAUUGUUACAAGAAGAAAUGGAUAAGAAAGGUGUUAAUGCAGAAGCAGCACGCCGGGAAGAAGAGAACUGCAUGCUUGCUGAUGCCCAGAAAUGGCUAGGCAGUAACAACAUUGAAGAUAAGAUUCACCCUAAGACAGGCGCCACAGCUCUGCAUGUAGCAGCAGCCAAGGGCUACAUAAAUGUCAUGAAUUUACUACUGCAAGCUGGGGCCAAUGUGAAUGUACAAGACAAUGAUGGCUGGACCCCACUGCAUGCAGCUGUCCACUGGGGACAGGAGGAUGCUUGCCAGAAUCUUGUGGAGCACAUGUGCAACAUGGACAUCAAGAACAAUGCUGGACACACUGCUUUCGACCUUGCUGACAAGGAGAUGCUGCAGCUUCUGGAAGAGCUAAAGAAAAAACAAGCCACAAUGAGGUCUGCAUCUGGCUCCACUUCUGAAAUCAGUCACGCACCAAGCCACAUAUCGAAAAGGAGGAGUUCAGUAACACGAAUGAGUAGCGAUCAAAAACAAAAUGUGAUAUCAAAGACAUCCGAAGAGGAACGAGCUACCCUGGAUGCUAACUUGACCCACCUGUCUGCACAUAAAGAGGAAGAGGACAAAAAGACGGCACCCAUCAUAUCUAUAUCUACUCCAAAUGCAGAAACAGAGCGCAAGAAUGAACUGAACAAGCAAUCAUCCUUGAUCUCACAGUCAUGGAACAACAGGCCACCCAGUGUUUCUGGUCUAGAAACCCACAAGCCUGAAAUGCCCAAAAUUGAUGAGGUUUCAGAGCAAGAAAAACCCUCAGUCAUCUCCACCUCCUCUGCCAUCACCAUCACAACCAUCCCAGUCACUCCAGUCACCCCAACCACCCCAGCCCCCAAAACCACCCCAUCCACCCCUACCACCCCUACCACCCCUUCAGUUUGCACAAGUAUCACUACUACAACAUCCACACUGUCCACCACUCCCUCCACUUUGGAGACUGAAACAUCAUCUGCGGAUGUGACUUUAAGGACAAACAACAAAGAGCCCAGUUUAGAUGAGCGGAACGGUGUCUCAAAGCCCUCUUCCAAAGACCUGGUCUCCCGGUCAAUUAGUGUCCCCACCCGUCUCCCAUCAGAACAGGAUACCAUGCGCCUUUCAUCCAGUCAAACAUCCACAUCCACAUCCGAAGAGCAGGAAGUACCCUCGUGGAGACGAGGAAUACGCAAGACAGGCAGCACAAGCAUGGUGCAUGAGCAAUUGCUAGAGAACGAUGCUGACAAAUCCUUGCCUCGCUCAGCUUCUAGUCCGCGCCUUGCCCUUGAUUACCGGAUAGAAAGUUUACAAGAGAGACUAGCUGGCCGGCGUCCCCUGUCCAGUACCUCAGCUGUUCCAACAACCUCCAUCAGCAGUCUCUCUAGUUCCAGUACAGACAGCAUCACAGAUUCCCGCCCUGGAGACAGGUCUAGCUGGUCUGCAGGACAGUCAUCUUAUACCCCUUACCGCAAUUACUCAUACCGCUCCAGCUAUGUGCCGUACUAUAUGAGAAAACAGGAGCAAAACGUCCAGCAAGAACAGGAUAAGGGCAAGGCACCUACCAGUUCCACAUCCUCCUCUGUCUCAGUCCCCUCAACCUCCCUGCCCUCAGCUACUACCAUCACCAACACAGCAGCAGCAACAACAACUGCAUCAACAACUGUAGUCACUUCUCCUACCAAUUCAGUAUUUAGAAGGUCAUUUGAACCUCCUAAGCGUGACGAAGAAACAGAAACUCAACGAAAAGCGCGUGCCAAACAUGCUAGACAGACAAGGCGAUCCACACAGGGUGUUGAUUUGAAAGACAUUGAGAAAGCAGAAGAAGUCAUACGACAAGGUGAUACGAACAAAGUUAAAGAUUCGGAAGAUAGUGCAACUUCUAGAACAUCUAUACCAGACUUGGAUAAAGACUCUAAAUCAUCAUUAGCAACAGCUACUACUACAGCUUCUACUACAGUGUCGUUAACAGGUUCCUCAUUACAAACUGAUAAAGAAAGAGACAGAACUAGUGCAAACCCUUCUUCCAGAAAUUUGUCGUCACGGGAAGACACAACUGGUUAUCGUCGACGAAACUGGGAAGACAGAGUUGAUGGUGAGACAAUACGAACAAGCUUUCGAAGGCCCCGAGAGGAGAAGGAUUCAGCUAGUAAUAAUAAUAACACCUCAGCCUCUUUAGAUAUCACCUCAUCAUACAUACCUCGUAGUCAACGCAACGCCUUGUCCGCAUCAGAUAACAGCACAUCUAGUCUUGGCAGCAGUUCAAAUAUUUUUCGAUCUUCUUCCCUACGGAAGUUACGAAAUGGGGAGACAGAGACAGCCACACAAGAUGAAGAGCAGAAAAAGGACGAGUCCAAAGAAACAAAGAAGGAAGAAUCACCAAACACGGAGAAGGAAGAGAAAAAAGAACCUUCAGCCAUCCGAGCCAGACGGGCUAGAAGAGAGCGGCGGUCAACCGGCAUCAACUAUGUCACAGAGGGUGAAGAUGAGAAAGUCAACAAAGAGAACAAACCAGAAGAUGAAAAGAAAGAGCCAGAGGUAAGUGUGCCAUUAGCACAGGCUCAAGGUAUGGUCGCUACUCUUCAUCGGAUGUACCACCCACAGAUUCUUCCUCUGUUCGCAACCGUCCAGUGUCUUACUCAGAAUAUUCACGCUCCACAGGCACACUUGAUGCUGACUACAAAAAGCUGUAUGAAGAAGAAAAAGAAGAAAAUGGACGACUGAAGAAAGAGUUGGAACAGUGCAAGAAGGAGCUACUUGAAGCCAAAUCUGAGUUAGACAAAGUUUUGAAGCGCACAAUAGACACUAAUGACAAGAGGGAAAAGAGAGCACUGGAACGAAAGGUGUCUGAAUAUGAAGAGGAGCUGAAA